rnacentral:tRNA from 1 species
GCCGCGGUGGUGAAAUUGGUAGACACGCUAGCCUUAGGAGCUAGUGCCUUCGGGUGUGAGAGUUCGAGUCUCUCCCGCGGCACCA